GUAUAGAGGUUAAAUGGAUGUUACAUGUUGGGAUAACCAAUACUGCAUCCAUAAAUGCUGGAGAUGAAGCAGCUGAAUCUAUGCUAACUGUUGCCACAAAGCAGAAUAAACCUUGAGUUACUCAUGGGCAGUUAUUGCAUAUAUUGUUGUUAAAUUGCACACUUAAAAUUUUCAGGACAUUGUGAGGGCAAUUAUGCCGAUUGUUACAGCUCACAAUCGAUGCCACCCACUUGUCUUGGGACCAUGGGCAGCCCGUUUCACUUGAAAAGUCAUUAAAACCUGUGAGAGCGUUUUUGAUGCCUCCUGGUGCAAAUGAAACUCUAAAAAUCGGCUGUAUUUUUUGACACUUCAGCCAGCAUUUUACUUUCAGUCAGUCAGUCCGCUUGGGUUGUCUUUACCAGGUGCAUUUCCCAAACAACAGAGCAGCUCGAAAAGUCUGAGGAGGCCUGAAGUAACACAUUUUUGCAAUAUUUUGCAAUUCUUGUGCUUGAUGACGUAGCGUGGAGGACGUUGCCAGACAAAAAGGCAAACGUAAAGCAAAGACAGACAGACAGAGCUAUUUCAGAGUUCGGGUGUAAACCUUGAGCGCUAUGCGAAGAUAAGGGUCACAUGGAGCGGACGCCAAUCCCAGCUGACAUUGAGCGAGAGGCUGGACACUCGCCGGACAGGUCGCAAGUCAAUCAAAUACGUGAUUUGAGGCCGGGAGCACCCUUGGGAAACCGCUGGCACGUACCGGGGAAGCAGCCAGCAGGCAGACUGGCCCGGCGUGUCGCUGGCGCACAGCGGGGCCGCUAAUGAGCACAGGGGGUGUUACCGCAUGUACCUGAAUUAUUUAACCACUUCCAGGAAGACGAGAGAACUCCCGGUGAUAAGAAACCAUCUCCCGUGUAAAUAUCCUCAAACCCGUGUGACGUCAAUCGCAAGCCGUGCGACCGGCAUAUACAUCCUGCUACAUAUUGCAACCAAACCAUGCCUCAAUUAUUUCAAUUCAUUUUUGAAUUGUAUUCAUGACACAAGAUCCAUAGGGAGUGAAUUACAGUAAUCAUAUCUGUUGCUCUUUCUGCAUGAAUACCUAAUCAAAGACCUGAGAGGCCCAUUUUUUCCCCCCAAUGAGUGACAGCCGAUGCUCCAAAAAGCCUUAGACAUUUACUCUUCUUAUCAAAACUUCAUAUGAUAUAGAUUUUUUUAUACAUACUUAGACAUUGUUUCCACAAUUCAAAAUAGUUCCCACAUUUCUUAAUCAAACAUAUCCAAAAAUCCAUGUCGGUCUGGCGCUAAGAAACUCUAUUCCACGUUGUAGCAGUAAAAGAACAAGAAUAACCAGAAUGAAACAAAGCAAUUCCAAGAGGGCCUUAAUCAUUCCUUCUUCUAUCCCAAUUGUAUCUGACUCUUGUCUGGCUAGUGGCUCACACGUUUAUUUAAACUCGGCUCACAAAUAUAUUGUUUCAUUUUAAAGGGCUCAGUAAUUCCCUGGAUAUUGAACAGAAACCUGAGCGCGCGCACGUCUUGGUUUCUAUUUUUAAGUGGCCGGUUUCCAGGUGAAGCGUUUGUGGGAUUGAAUUGAGACAAGCAACAGAUUGCGUGUGCAGCAAGCACGUUGUCACUCAGUCUUAAAGGUAGCGCUUGCCUUAAUGGCUUCAAUUCAUCAUCGUUUCAGAUCAGCCCAUGUGGGGUCGUUGCCGGGAAAAACAACUCUGGCUAACCCCGACGCCUCCAUUCCAGCACACGCCAUUACGCUCUUAAUGUGACUUGCGAAAACUCUGGGAAAACGCAAGGUUUUAGUGUUUUAUGUUGACCCAUUACCGACCGCCUCUCUCCGCCGCAUCCAUAAAUCUACAUAACGACGCAUCCGGAAGGUUUGCGCGAAGGCGCCGCAGACGGGCCGAGACAAAUGGAUGUUGUCGAUCCGGCCCGGAGAGCAACAGAUGAGGCUUCGAGAAAAAUGGACGGGCACGCAAUUUAGCAACUUGGUUAAAAAAUGAGUCAAAUCGGAAUUGAUCGGCGCACAGAGAUGUGAUAAGAACAGUUGGGUUAUGAUUCAUACCUGACAGAUAACAGAUUAAAUGUUUAAUUGGAUAAAACUUGACGAUAUGAACUAAAUAGGGCGUGACUCAUUCGUGUGUGGAAAAGCGUGCGACUCGAGAUUGAAAUUGACUAGAAGUGGUAGCGCGUAUGUAGGUUAGCUUCGAGUUAUGUUUGCUUUUUCUUUGGCUUUCUUUAACCCUUACAUACUGUUUGGGUCCGAAUUGCGUACCACGAGAAGGAGCACACCGACCACGAGUAACACUUUCAUUGUUUCCGAGACGUCUGAAAAAGUUUGAAACGAUUAAUCAACGACCAGGCCCCGCCUUUUAAAGGCGUACACGAUAAGUCACCGAUAUUAUAGGGUGGAAGGUGAAGAUAGACAACAAUAAUACCAGCACCUCCCAUACACUUUUUGUUGUUUAAUAAUGCUAAAAUAUUUGUUAUUCAAUUAUUCAAUGGUAGAAUAAUCGAUUCCUAAACAAAUAUUUGAAAGCUGCGGCCCUUCAUCCGACACUUAUCCUGUAUAUCCCUGAGAUAAAUGCUGUUCAGGCCUGUUGACCCUUCACAGUCAAGUUAUUGCCACACACAUCAUCACACCUUUUUUUUCUAAGCUGAUGUUGCCGCGUGGUUUAUACCAGUGUACGGAGGCAUUCAUGUGAUUUCUGCGCAUACACUCUAACUGCCCAUUACUGCAGAUGGCGGGCCGCGGAGGCCAGCGAGGCGUGCUCGCAUAAAGGCACAGCUGCAGCGCAAUUCAGACUCUCCCCGCUCUUUUCACGCUUGGAUUUAUUCCGGCGGCAUCUAUCAGGAAAACCACAGCGCUGCUUCCUGUCCUCGUAACAACACACAGGCUGCCUCUGUAGCAUUAGCAACCGCAGGGAGAGUUCGACGUUUGUUUUGGCUCGCCUAUUUAAAAAAAAAAAAAAAAAAAAACAUUCCGUCUUCUUCACCAACAGGAUUCAUAAAUUGAUAAUCAAUGCCUCUCAUCAUGAUUCACAAGCAUACCUGCUCACACAGACUACAGUAGAAUGGCACUCCGUAUAGCACAGACUUUUCCAAUGUCUUAAUUUGGAGUAUUUUGACCAAAGUAUGCCACAGACGCCUGUAAACUGUUUCAAAUUGUGAAAAGAAAUCAUAAUGUCUCCUCGAGGGAGGUCUGUGCCCUGCUGAGUAACAUUCAAGUCAUGUACGUCCUCGUGGUGGACUCGUCUGCGCCAGAAAACGGCAAUUCGGGCCCAUGAAGAAAAACGCUGCCAUUUCCAUGCCUUUGUUUAGGGAUGUUGAGUGGUCGAGCUGGCAGGCACCCUGACAUGAUUAUGUCAUUAUUUGCAGUUGAAAGGUCGGGCGAGCACCAUUUAAACUACAACUUGAGCUGUGCACAACAGCUGGGGGGGAAUAGCACCCCAACAAACAUGCUUUGUAAAAGCAAGACAAUAAGUCUGUCCUUUGGUCGAAUAAACCAGUUCAACUAUCUACUGUAUGCCAGCGAUGUACAGUGACAAGCAGAAUAAUUAAAUACUACUCCUAGAUGGCAGAAGGUACAUAUUAAAUAGGCGUAUCCACUUUUUGGGACACUUUUCCGUGUGUCUGGUAUGUGAAACGUGAGCCUGCACUGGGGGGUGGUAAAAAAAGAAAAAGAAAAAAUAUAUCCAAUAGUAUUUUUUAUUGGCAUCGUGACGUAUAAAGCAUCGGCAUUUGUAUUUGGAAAGGUCAAAACCAUCAGUUGCGCAAUUUUGAAAGAAAAAGAAAGAAGAGGAGAAGAAACGAGCAAAGGAUGCAGGUAUGUGUAAACAUAGUUUUAUUCUUCAUGACUAGUCGAUUUUAUAGUUGUAGUUAUAGUUGUAGUUUAUAGUUAGAUUUCCAAUGCAAAAAUCAUCAAUACCCUCUCAUGCAACAUGUAUUAGCAUAGUUCCCUGUAAUGUCUCAUAUUAGUAUUGCUUUCCUAAUGAGUGAUGGUUUUAUAGAUGCCCGGUGUCAGCGAUAUGGAGCCGCUCGCAGCUCCUCAGUAGUCGUUCUUCACAGAGCAUCAAGAGUAUAUGCCCGUGAGUAUUCUUAUAGUAUCUGUCUACAUGUGUUGCUCCACCAUUUGUGUUCAAACAGCCGUUACUUAAAGGGUUAUAAAACAGCGUUUUGUAUCGUUUGUUAGCAUUUAGCCAAAUUGACUUUCCUGGGGCAAAGCUCUGGUUGUUCGAAAUACGCAAUGCAAAAUUGUCUCUGUUGAAUGUUUGACUUUGAAAUUCAACAUUGACUGUGUGUGGCAACGAACAGUGGAAGACUUGUUUUCAAAGAAUUGUUUACUAUCCGUUGUAAAGUUAUUUGCGUUGAGUUCAGUGCCACCAUACAGUGCUCAUAUUUAAAAUUUUUGCUCGCAAGUCAAAACAAAGAAAUCGGCCAAGCGACGGCUUGUAUCUAAAAAAAACAAAAACUCUUUGUUAUUCUACUUUGCUGUUGCUCUAUUCUUCAUUGUUAUAGUUCAAUAUAUUUUCAACAUCCACUUCUGUCUUUUGCAUUGGUGUGUGCGGGUGGGAUUGGUGGUGGUCGAGGGGAGGGGGGGGGGGGGGGGGCGUGCAAGCUAGGACCGCCACUGCGCAGCUCAAAAAGGUUGGUAAACAUUGAAGUAAACAAUCAGGCACACGAGCAGGCUAAUUGAUCCGCCCCUGGAGGAAUGUCACCGCGUCCCUGCAGGGCCAUCCAGCAUUUGUGCAACUUUGAAGCUCUUCAUUUGAGUCCUACCUUUCCGAAUGAGAUCUUCGAUUCCCUGGUCGAACCCCAGCCGGUGGCAUUUCCUCCACAGCCCCAUGUUGGUGGAGUUGUACUGCCUGUUGCACUCGUCCGCGGCGCUCAUGGCGUACAGCUGCCGCCGGUUGCGGGCCAGG